GGGGGGAUAAGUCGAUUGGAACAUCGCGGCAGAGAGGGUGAGACCCCCGUUCAUGCCUCCUCUUUUAACCUUAACAUGCCUCAUCGACGAGUCGAGUUGCUUGGGAUUGCAGCUCAAAGCGGGUGGUAAAUUCCAUCUAAAGCUAAAUAUUGGUGGGAGACCGAUAGCGAACAAGUACCGUGAGGGAAAGAUGCAAAGAACUUUGAAAAGAGAGUUAAAGAGUACCUGAAAUUGCUGAAAGGGAAGCGAAGGAAACCAGUGUCGGUCUUGACUAUAUUGGGUGCACUUUGCGGUGCGCUCGCGUAGGCUUGGUCGGGUCAACAUCGGUUAGCUUGGGGUGAAACGGUUGGCUGCUUUUCGAGCGCCUUCUCUGACCCCGAUCUGACCGAGGACAGUCUAGCAAUAGCUCGUGAUGUUGACGAAAUGGUUUUCUUUACCCCGUCUAGAAACACGGACCAAGGAGUCUAACAUGUGUGCGAGUGCUCGGGGUUCAUCCCCCAGCGCGGAAUUAAUGUGAAGGCGGACCUAGUCCGCUGAGGUAGGAUGCUUCGGCUGCACUAUCGACCGACCAUGAUCCCUCGGGAGAAAGGUUUGAGUGUGAGCAUAGAUGUUGGGACCCGAAAGAUGGUGAACUAUGCCUG
rnacentral:rRNA from 1 species